rnacentral:rRNA from 1 species
CUUAGUGGCGGACGGGUGAGUAACGCGUGGGUAACCUGCCUCAUACAGGGGGAUAACAGUUGGAAACGGCUGCUAAUACCGCAUAAGCGCACAGUACCGCAUGGUACGGUGUGAAAAACUCCGGUGGUAUGAGAUGGACCCGCGUCUGAUUAGGUAGUUGGUGGGGUAACGGCCUACCAAGCCGACGAUCAGUAGCCGACCUGAGAGGGUGACCGGCCACAUUGGGACUGAGACACGGCCCAA